AAUUAUAUAAGAUGCAUGUUGUAGAUGAGCAUGAGCAGACCCCCACCCUUCAAAGAAUGGUUGAAACAUCAUCUUGAGGGCCCUUAUUUCCCUCUCUGUCUAGACAGUUGCAUUUAAGUCUUAGUGUCUUUCUAUAUGAUUUUUGAACUUUGAAGACCCCUCUGAUGGCCCUCUUGCAUAUCUCUUGGUGUUUUGGACCACUGGUUAGAGAGAUAGAGAGAGAGAGAUGGCUUUCCUUCUAUUGUGG
rnacentral:lncRNA from 1 species